rnacentral:rRNA from 1 species
AAACCCUUUAGCUGGAGAAGAACAGGGGUGAGAGUAACAGGGCACAUAUUCCCGGUAUCCAACCAGAAAGCCAAGGCUAAGUAUCAGCCAGCAGCCGCGGUAAUACGUAGGUGGCAAGCGUUGUCCGGAUUUAUUGGGCGUAAAGCGAGCGCAGGCGGUUUUUUAGGUUUGAUGUGAAAGCCUUAGGUUUAACCGGAGAAGUGCAUCGGAAACCAGGAGACUUGAGUGCAGAAGAGGACAGUGGAAAUCCAUGUGUAGCGGUGAAAUGCGUAGAUAUAUGGAAGAACACCAGUGGCGAAGGCGGCUGUCUGGUCUGUAACUGACGCUGAGGCUCGAAAGCAUGGGUAGCGAACAGGAUUAGAUACCCCGGUAGUCCAUGCCGUAAACGAUGAGUGCUAAGUGUUGGAGGGUUUCCGCCAUUCAGUGCUGCAGCUAACGCAUUAAGCACUCCGCCUGGGAGACACCG